GAAAGAACCCAGACCAUCGGCUAAGGUCCCCAAAUAUAUGUUAAGUUGAAUAAACGCGGUUGAACUGCUUAGACAGCUAGGAUGUUGGCUUGGAAGCAGCCAUUCAUUUAAAGAGUGCGUAACAGCUCACUGGUCGAGCGACAGGGCAUCGAUGAUGAUCGGGCAUAAAGUAUAGUACCGAAGCUAAGGCAGUAUUUAAUACUGGGUAGGGGAGCAUUCUAUAGGC
rnacentral:rRNA from 1 species